UUGAACGCUGGCGGCAGGCCUAACCCAUGCAAGUCGAGCGGAUGAAGGGAGCUUGCUCCUGGAUUCAGCGGCGGACGGGUGAGUAAUGCCUAGGAAUCUGCCUGGUAGUGGAGGAUAACGUCCGGAAACGGGCGCUAAUACCGCAUACGUCCUGAGGGAGAAAGUGGGGGAUCUUCGGACCUCACGCUAUCAGAUGAGCCUAGGUCGGAUUAGCUAGUUGGUGGGGUAAAGGCCUACCAAGGCGACGAUCCGUACUGGUCUGAGAGGAUGAUCAGUCACACUGGAACUGAGACACGGUCCAGACUCCUACGGGAGGCAGCAGUGGGGAAUAUUGGACAAUGGGCGAAAGCCUGAUCCAGCCAUGCCGCGUGUGUGAAGAAGGUCUUCGGAUUGUAAAGCACUUUAAGUUGGGAGGAAGGGCAGUAAGUUAAUACCUUGCUGUUUUGACGUUACCAACAGAAUAAGCACCGGCUAACUUCGUG
rnacentral:rRNA from 1 species